rnacentral:rRNA from 1 species
UACGUAGGGGGCAAGCGUUGUCCGGAAUCAUUGGGCGUAAAGAGCGUGUAGGCGGCCCGGUAAGUCCGCUGUGAAAGUCCAGGGCUCAACCCUGGGAUGCCGGUGGAUACUGUCGGGCUCGAGUCCGGAAGAGGAGUGUGGAAUUCCUGGUGUAGCGGUGAAAUGCGCAGAUAUCAGGAGGAACACCGGUGGCGAAGGCGGGUCUCUGGGCCGAUGACUGACGCUGAGGAGCGAAAGCGUGGGGAGCGAACAGG